rnacentral:rRNA from 1 species
GAUCUCAACUCUUACAUGACUACUCCCCCCUGUGUUUAAGCAUAUAAAUAAGCGGAGGAAAAAAAACUAACCAGG